GGGGCACCAUCUCUGGGUGAGGCUGGGGUGUGGUGGUGCUGUGUGAUGGGGACCAAAGUUCUGUGGCUCAAUGGCAAGUUGGGAAGGGUCAGUGGUGCCCUGGUGUUGGACCCACAGAGACACCAGAUAGAUGUGCAUGGCCAUGUAGAGAGUUAUGGCUUCUUUAAAGAUGCGGAUACACACCAGCCUUUGGUCUGGCUUGGUAUUCCCUAUUGAGGAAGAUAUGAAGAAGUUUUCCCACAUUCUUGGUUAUUAGACAAGGGGAGCACAAUAUGCAAUGGUGGUUAAAAUGGUUUACGAUCUAGAGUACUCCAAAGGAUAAACAACGCAGAGGAGGAGAGGACCGCUGGAGCAUGAUCUUUUGGCAGCACAUGAAAGCCCAGAAAUGAUCUUGGAAAUGUAUUGAUUCAGGGAUUAGCAUGAAAGGCAUCCAGCUAGGAUGCUCUGUUCUGUUUUGGGUGGCAUCACCGGAGACCUUGAGGAAGGUCAGUCAAUCGCGUUGACUCUUGGUCAUUCCAGCUGGAAGUUGUGUAAGAAGCAAAGACUUCGUGGAGGACCAGAUGCUGCAUCCAUGCUUAUUGUUCCAGGGUAAAUAAAAGAAGAAAAUCCUUUUCAUUUGUUUGAGCAGCUGCUGAUCUCCUGUGAAUUUUCUACUCCAUCAUUUUCAAACAGAAAUUGGCUAAGUAACUGUACAUAUUUCUAAUUUAAAUUAAAGUGUAAUUUAAAUACACGCUUCUAUUGCCAUUGUUAUGAAAUGUUAUGAGCCACACUUUAAAAGUGCAAUCAGAAGGGUUACAAGAGCAGCGACACAGAAAAAGCCCGUUGUGCUAGCCAGGCACAUUUCUCUUGACUACAUUACGUGAGGCUUUUUGAACAUCGUGAAAUAAGACCUGGAGGAUCUGAAAUGGUUUCUCUUUUAAAGCACAGCUGCUCUGUUAUCCUCUGCCACAGCUCCAUCUCAACUAUUCCUGCAAUGGGGGCUGUUCAAACAGAGGCAGAUAGAUAUGGCUGGAAAUGCAGACUUGGCACCGUAUCGGAUGCAAAGAACAUCGUACACCUCCCAGGAGAAUAAAGCCAUGCCGAGGGAGAAGCAGAAAGCUGACACCUUGUGCUGCAGCUCCAGAGCGAUGGGUGUGCAUCUGCCUCUCCUCGUGCACCACUGCAGGUUCCUGCCCCAAGCACGGCGCUGACACCUCUGCAGCUGCAAGGAGGCAGUAACUGAUUUUAGGCGGUGUUCAUGAUACACCAUGCUGACUGCAGGCUGUACAGCCACUUAAUUAACGACCUGCUGGCUUCAUUCCCGAGUCCUGGCUCCUCCAUUUAGACUAUUCCAGUCACAUACACUCCUGAAAGAGCUUUGGCUUUUACAGAUGCAAUCCAACAGAUGAAUAAAUAACAAUAAGCUCCUGCUGGAAUGCAUUCAGGAAACAUUUGAUAGGAACUAAUUUAUUUUACUUUAUUAUUUAGCAAGCCAAUACAUAAACUUACCUAACACAACUGCAGAUUAGCUGAUGCACUCGCUUUCUAUUAGCUUUUGGUUAUGUUACUGAAAGCCUCAAGUAUAUUUUUGGAGAGGGAGUUAUGAAAAAAAGAUACUUUUUUUUUUUUUUUUUUUUUUUUUUUUUAACAAAAAGACAGACUCCUUGGAGUGGAAACCAGAGAGGGUAGAAAGAUGCCAAAUAUAUUCUCUAUUCUCCUGGCUGUAAAUAGCCAGUACUGCAGUAAGUCCUUUUGCUAGAAAUGGUGCAUCUGCAUUACUGAAAAACAGUUACGGUGGUCAGGGUGAAAACAGGAAGAACCACGAUGCAUCCACUGGCUUUGGGAAAUGUUCUGGGUCCCCAAGAUGUCUAGGAAUGGAAAGCAAACCUUCUGUGAUGCCAUCUACUGUGGAGUUUUUUUUUUUUUUUAAUUUUUAGAGUUCUUUUGUUGUUGCUGUUGGAUUUAUCUGUUAGCCAAAAGAAAUAGUUUGAAAUACCUGGGCCCCAGUCCUCCAAAUGAGAACCCAUUGGAGAUCUUGCAGUAUGGGAGUGAAAUAAAUGCCCAAGUCUUGCAGGGGAAGAAAUAUGGUAAUAUUCUCAGAAAAUCUUGUGCCCCUGUUUUAUAGAAAUAAGCACAAACUGAACAUGGGUAAUUCUUUGAAAAUUUUAUGGGCGGUUCAGGUAGUAAAGGAAUAUAAAUGGAAAUCUACCUAUCACAUAUCAGGAGAAAAUGAAAGUUGAGUGUGUUGCAUGCUUGAGCUGCUGUAUUUGUACAGUCAUUUAUUCAGCAGUCAUCCUGGUAGUUUUUCUACCCCUUCAACUCUGUGAAACUGUAGAAAAUGACAGUUUCUUU